AGAGCUCAAAUUUGAAAGCUGGCCCCCUCGGGGUCCGCAUUGUAAUUUGUAGAGGAUGCUUCGGGAGCGGUCCCCAUCUAAGUGCCCUGGAACGGGCCGUCAUAGAGGGUGAGAAUCCCGUAUGGGAUGGGGUGCCCGCGCCCGGGUGAAGCUCCUUCAACAAGUCGAGUUGUUUGGGAAUGCAGCUCUAAUUGGGUGGUAAAUUUCAUCUAAAGCUAAAUAUUGGCCGGAGACCGAUAGCGCACAAGUAGAGUGAUCGAAAGAUGAAAAGCACUUUGAAAAGAGAGUUAAACAGCACGUGAAAUUGUUGAAAGGGAAGCGCUUGCGAUCAAACUCGCUCGCGGGGUUCAGCCGGCCUUCGGGCCGGUGUACUUCCCCGCGGGCGGGCCAGCGUCGGUUUGGGCGGCCGGUCAAAGGCCCCUGGAAUGUAACGCCUCUCGGGGCGUCUUAUANCCGGGGGUGCCAUGCGGCCUGCCCGGACCGAGGAACGCGCUUCGGCUCGGACGCUGGCAUAAUGGUCGUAAGCGACCCGUCUU
rnacentral:rRNA from 1 species